rnacentral:rRNA from 1 species
GGACGGGUGAGGUAACGCGUGAGCAACCUGUCCCAGACAGGGGGAUAACACUUGGAAACAGGUGCUAAUACCGCAUAAGACCACGGGAUCACAGUGGUUCUGGGGGUAAAAAGGAGCAAUCCGGUUUGGGGUGGGCUCGCGUCCGAUUAGCCAGUUGGCGGGGUAACGGCCCACCAAAGCGACGAUCGGUAGCCGACCUGAGAGGGUGAACGGCCACAUUGGAACUGAGAGACGGUCCAAACUCCUACGGGAGGCAGCAGUGGGGAAUAUUGGGGCAAUGGGCGAAAGCCUAGACCCAGCAACGCCGCGUGAGUGAAGAAGGCCUUCGGGUUGUAAAGCUCUGUUAUAGUUGACGAAGGAAGUGACGGUAGGCUAUAAGGAAGCCCCGGCUAACUACGUGCCAGCCGCCGC